GUCUUCGUGGUGUAACGGUUAACACACUCGGCUUCUAUUCGAGAGGUCCAGGUUCGAGUCCCAGCGAGGGCA
rnacentral:tRNA from 1 species